rnacentral:rRNA from 1 species
GGUCAAGUUAUUAAGGGCGCAGGGCGGAUGCCUUGGCACUAAGAGCCGAUGAAGGACGCGAUAAGCUGCGAUAAGCUUCGGGGAGUUGCACGUAAACUUUGAUCCGAAGAUUUCCGAAUGAGGAAACUCACUUAGAGUAAUGUCUAAGUAUCAUUAAGUGAAUACAUAGCUUAGUGAGGGGAACCCGGGGAACUGAAACAUCUAAGUACCCGGAGGAAAAGAAAGAAAUUCGAUUCCGUAAGUAGCGGCGAGCGAACGCGGAA